CCCCCACCAUGCACGAAUUUUGUGCACAGGGCCUCUAGUAUUUAAUAAAAAUAAAAAUGCAUAUUAGUGCUCAUCCUGACAAACCAGGUCUGGUGUGUGGCCUGGGAAUAAGAAUGUUGGUUGGUGGCCCCUGUUUGGAAAGACACUGAGUUGGGAACCCAGUCUCAGCUGGUCAUCCAAGGCUGCCCUUGUGUCUUUCUCCUUUCUUGUGACUCAGGGUGGAAGGAAGGACCUCUGUUUCCCAUCAUGUUUUGAGGGUCUGUAGGCCCAGACACUGUUUUAGAUGCUAGGGAUACAGCAAUGAACAAAUGAGAAAUUCUCUCCGGUCGGAGCUAACUUUCUUCACGUAGUAACAGGUAUCAAAGCUUCCUCCGUAUCUUCCCGUGGCUCAGUAGUUCAUUUCUCUUGAAUACUGAGUCACAGCCCCCUGUCUGGGUGUGUCACAGUUUGUUUACCCAGUCACCUAUGGAAGGACAUGUUGGGUGCUUCCACUUUUUAGCAAUGGGCUUUACGUUAGAGAAAAUCAUGAAAAACCAACAACUGUUGGAGGAUUCCGGAGAAGUCCUGACGGCCUGCAGGCACCAAAGACAGAGGCUCCUUGGAUCCUGUUCCUCUGUGGUCCUUUCGGAAUAACUCAGCAAACGACUCAGACAUCAGUAAGCUCACCAAGACAAGAAAGAGAGAGAGAGGAUUUACUGUCCAGUAACUUUCAAAAGCUGAUUUCUUAUGCAGUUCCACUUUCUUCUCUUGCUCUCAGCAGAGCCAAACGCCAGGAGGCUCUAGAGUGUCCAUGUCAGGCCAAUGAGAAAGGUUUCCAAGUUCAAGGGAGGGGUCUCCUGGCCUCCGCCUUCUGGUUUUCAGUAUUUGGUUCUCUGACCAGAUCAUCCACCUCACCCAUCACCCAUUUCUGAGCUUUCCUGAGAAGGCGUUUCCUGCUGUGUCUCAGCGAAGCCAGUCUUCUCUUGCCCCCAAAUGCACAGAGGGAGAGCGUGGGUGCAGCCGUAUCAUGAAGGAAGCGUUGGCGUGCCCGUGUCAACCACAGUCCACGUCUUCCCCCACGACUUCUGGUCCCACCAGAAUCGAGGAUGACUACUUCUGGCAACCUCCAAUCUGGUUGUUAAGUUGAACAAUAAAAAAGAUGAAUAACCCAAUAAACAAACUAGGCGAGAUAUUUGAACCAACAUUUCACAAGGAAAGAUACAGAUGGACAAUAAGCAACGGAACACCAUUAAUCAAAAGAAAAUGCAAAUUAAAACCCUGAUGAGACACCACCAUGCACCCACGAGACGGCUAAAAUUCCAAAGACUGACACCACCAAACGGCGGCAAAGCUGUGGAGCUACCGGAACUCACACAGUGUCGGGGGGAGUGUAAAAUGCUACAAACGCGUGGGAAAAGGUCAGGCAGUUUCUCACGAAGUUAAAUAUCUACACGCCCAUGCAUCCAAGAGAACUGAAAACAGGUUGACAAAAAGAUAUGAAUAAGAAUGUUCAUUGCAGCCCACGCUGGAAAGAGCUUAGCGGUUCACCAGCAGAGUACCGUGCGAUGUCAUUUAUCCACACGAUGGUGCACAGCUCAGUGACGGAAAGUCAAGAGCCACUGGAACAUGCCACAACAUGGAUGUCUCAAAAAACGACCAUGUCUUUGGCCCUGUUACAUCCUGCUCCAUUCAUCCAGCCCUCCAAGAGCAGGACUGGGUCACCCAGUGCUUGGAGUUGAAGAGGAUAAAGUGGUGAUAGAAACCACCAUGGAAACCCGCACGGUAUUGAUCUUAUGAGACCAAGUCCCUGGGCAUCUGCCCCCCAGGCCCUCCAGCCUCAGCCUCAGCCUCAGCCAUUCCCCUAAAACUCUCUGGCCGUGGUCCUGUGGUCAUGAUUGUUCCUUCGAGCAUUCAGCAUGCGGGAGCCCGUGCACUCUGUGUAUGUGUGUAUAUAUAAUUUACUGUUUCAACCGACCAUUUUUAAGCAUACAAUUCAGUGGCAUCCCUUGCAUUACGGUGUUGUGCAACCAUCA